CGGCAGUGAUGAUCAAUUAUGUAUACCAUCAAACUUUGAAAGCUAAAUAAGCUUGUUGAUGCCAACUCAUACAAUCUGAGCCU
rnacentral:snoRNA from 2 species